CUUUUCUCUUUCUUUCCUUAAUCAAUUCGUAAACUGUAUUAGGAUAGUGCUUAAACCGUUAAUCGGUAGUACGCCCGUUACAUUACGAAUUGAUUCAUUGCGUUAACGCCCGAGUGCGUAGUUAAGGCCCGAGUGCCUAAGUUAGACCCCCAGGCCCGAGUGCCUAGUUAUCAGUUCUUACGCCUGAGUGCGUCGAUUACGUUAGAAGGCCUGAGUGCCCCCAUUGUUUAGUUAAACAGAUAGUUACACCUGAGCGUCCGCAGCACAGCGAAGUGCUCGCGAAGAGGUCCAAGUGCCUAUGAGCUGUAAUGCUGCGAAUAGUGUUCACAAAGAAGCUUACAAGCUUAGAGCCACAGUGCUGCAAAUAGCGUUCAUGAAGAGGCCAGCAUGCCUAUGAGUAUUCCUUUUUUUUUAUUUUACUGGUUAUAUAUGUCC
rnacentral:sRNA from 1 species